CCGGCGCACGGGUGAGUAACACGUAUGCAAUCCACCUGUAACAGGGGGAUAACCCGGAGAAAUCCGGACUAAUACCCCGUAAUAUGGGCGCUCCGCAUGGAGAGCCCAUUAAAGAGAGCAAUUUUGGUUACAGACGAGCAUGCGCUCCAUUAGCCAGUUGGCGGGGUAACGGCCCACCAAAGCGACGAUGGAUAGGGGUUCUGAGAGGAAGGUCCCCCACAUUGGAACUGAGACACGGUCCAA
rnacentral:rRNA from 1 species